rnacentral:tRNA from 1 species
GCCGGGCUGGCGGAACGGUAGACGCGGCGGUCUCAAAAACCGUUGGGGCAACCCCCCGUGAGGGUUCGAAUCCCUCGCCCGGCA